rnacentral:rRNA from 1 species
CAGCAGUGGGGAAUAUUGCACAAUGGGGGAAACCCUGAUGCAGCGACGCCGCGUGGAGGAAGAAGGUUUUCGGAUUGUAAACUCCUGUCGUUAGGGACGAUAAUGACGGUACCUAACAAGAAAGCACCGGCUAACUACGUGCCAGCAGCCGCGGUAAAACGUAGGGUGCAAGCGUUGUCCGGAAUUACUGGGUGUAAAGGGAGCGCAGGCGGGAAGACAAGUUGGAAGUGAAAACCAUGGGCUCAACCCAUGAAUUGCUUUCAAAACUGUUUUUCUUGAGUAGUGCAGAGGUAGGUGGAAUUCCCGGUGUAGCGGUGGAAUGCGUAGAUAUCGGGAGGAACACCAGUGGCGAAGGCGGCCUACUGGGCACCAACUGACGCUGAGGCUCGAAAGCAUGGGUAGCAAACAGGAUUAGAUACCCUGGUAGUCCAUGCCGUAAACGAUGAUUACUAGGUGUUGGAGGAUUGACCCCUUCAGUGCCGCAGUUAACACAAUAAGUAAUCCACCUGGGGAGUACGACCGCAAGGUUGAAACUCAAAGGAAUUGACGGGGGCCCGCACAAGCAGUGGAGUAUGUGGUUUAAUUCGAAGCAACGCGAAGAACCUUACCAGGUCUUGACAUCCGAUGCAUAGCACAGAGAUGUGUGAAAUCCUUCGGGACAUCGAGACAGGUGGUGCAUGGUUGUCGUCAGCUCGUGUCGUGAGAUGUUGGGUUAAGUCCCGCAACGAGCGCAACCCUUAUUGCCAGUUACUACGUUAAGAGGACUCUGGCGAGACUGCCGUUGACAAAACGGAGGAAGGUGGGGAUGACGUCAAAUCAUCAUGCCCUUUAUGACCUGGGCUACACACGUACUACAAUGGCGUUAAACAAAGAGAAGCAAGACCGCGAGGUGGAGCAAAACUCAAAAACAACGUCUCAGUUCAGAUUGCAGGCUGCAACUCGCCUGCAUGAAGUCGGAAUUGCUAGUAAUCGCGGAUCAGCAUGCCGCGGUGAAUACGUUCCCGGGCCUUGUACACACCGCCCGUCACACCAUGAGAGCCGGGGGGACCCGAAGUCGGUAGUCUAACCGCAAGGAGGACGCCGCCGAAGGUAAAACUGGUGAUUGGGGU